UACGUAGGCGGAAAAUUAAGUCAGUAGUGAAAUCCUGCAGCUUAACUGUAGAACUGUUAUUGAUACUGGUUUUCUUGAAUAUUGUUGAGGUAGGCGGAAUGUGUAAUGUAGCGGUGAAAUGCUUAGAUAUUACACAGAACACCGAUUGCGAAGGCAGCUUACUAAGCAAUUAUUGACGCUGAGGUACGAAAGCGUGGGGAGCGAACAGGAUUAGAUACCCUGGUAGUCC
rnacentral:rRNA from 1 species